AAAAAGUUAGUUAAACUAUAACAUAAGGUUGUCAGUCUUACGUUACUAAUUGAACUUAGUACUUUUUA
rnacentral:tRNA from 1 species